UCCUAAAGAGCAAGUCUUAGUGUUGUUUUUGUUUAAGUCAACCCGAUAUGUGGAUCCCCACAAAAAAUGUGACAAUACAUAGUGAGUGUUAACUUUUGAUGCCUUAGCUCCCUUCUAAGACACAUCACAGUAAAUAGCGUGUGCAACAAGUAGCCGAUCCUUUAGUAGAGAAAUGCAGGAAUGCUUCAAUUUAUUUUUUGCUAGAAAUUGUGACGUAGCAUAUUUGUAAACUGUUAUCCAAUAAUUUACUUUCAUUAUUGCCUAAUUGACAAAUGUUGUCCUCCGUAACAUUCAACAUUUCAUGUUGAAAGUCAACAGUGAGUAGUAGUGUGAAAAUAUUUUCAGUUGUGCACCGUGUCAGAAUAUCUUUACAUUUGUUGAGCUAGAACUACCUAGAAACACAUGAAAUAACCAAUUCAAUCAUGUCAAAUAUUGUCUUUUUUUGUGUGUAAUCAGCAACAAAGUGUAUCGGGUUUAAAAAAAAACCAAAUGUAUCGGGAGUGUGUGAUUGAAAUAAUAUUGCUUGUUGGCUGGAACGGACUCUGGAUCAAUUAUAAUCAGAAGGGGGAGGAAGCACUCAGCUAGCUCUCCUUCUAAAUGGGACUUCUCAUUGUUGCUCGCCAUGUCUCCUUUUAUUGUUUUCAAAUGGAACGUGUGUGCUGUGUACUCAGGAUAUCUGGACACACACACGGAGAGCGGCCGUGCUCGUGGGGAGUAAACAAAGUGCACUUCGCAGAUUGUGUCUCAAUAAAUUUGCUCAUUCGUGGGAACCUCAAGGAAAGACUACCUUUGUGACCUUUUCUGUUCUCGGAUUUGUCUAUCCAAGCUCGAAAGUCUCACGGGGGCGCUCUGACAGUGGGAAGCUUCCCAGCGACCAGGAGAGGAAGCGUUGACUUCCCAGGAAAAACAACCACACGAAUCAGUGUGUUGAUUACAAUUGAUUGACCUCUUUUCAAUCUGGUUUCCAGUCCACCUGCGUGGCCUUUUUGUAGGCCUCGGGUCUCAUCUGGACCACUGGUGCGGUUGCGCCAGGUCGACACGGAGGCAUGUUUUGUUCGCAUUGUCGUAUUCUCGCUUGGAGAACUUCGUGCGAGGGCCACACUUGUCUACGUCAGAGAGCGGCGCCGCCUUUAUCUGACAUUAACUGGAAUGGAACACCCCCCCCCCCAAAAAAAAACAUUCAUGCAUAUGAGAUGCCCAUCUUUAUUCCCGAGGUGGUGAUAUAUGUAAUUUCCUUUUUACAAAGUAGUUUAAUGACAUUGAAUAAGGCUCAAGAGCAGGAUGUCAGACAUUGCUCGUGCUCAUCUUCCAACACGUGGGACCAGACUGUCUUCAAGGUGACACAAGAAUUCCUGGCGCUGUGAUUUGGACGCAUCCACUUCUGCUCCACAGGGUCCAUUGAGUGUGUUGACACGUAAAAUCAUCCAAACUUGAUCUAGUGGAGCAAGAUGAAAUGUACCAACUGUUAUCUCUUUGUCACAUGCAACAGAGAUAAACUUGAACAUGUGCAACGGCCACUCUACAAAAGCUACAGAUGGACUGUCAGACCUCUGGUGGAGCGAAGCUGUUAGCAGUGGUAGGUCAACCGCUUCGUUGCUUGUUGCCCUUCAUCCCUUUUUAGUGUUGGCGUGGGCGCACAGAUGAUGAAGAUGAACUGAUGAGAUGACAUCAGCAGUCCACUGAAAGGUAAGUGGAGUUCAUUGUCAUGGAUAGACGUAAGGCCCGCCGCACAACGAAAUGACCGGCGACCUGUAACGACCCCCCCCCCCCCCCCCCCCCCCCGAGCUCGUAUCUGGUUUUGACGCGCCACAUACAGUAUAUCGUAUUAUAUUUGAAUUGCGGAGAAACUGCUAAACUGGAGGUCAACGGGAGGCCACUCGUUCAAACUUGUGGCCUGUUGUGAGGCGGGCCUAACAGUUUAAUUCUUGAUGAUGAAGCAUCCUGUGGUUUUUGUGAUGGAUGACAUUACGAUCUAAUAUCCAACUAAAAGACCUUCAUCUCCAAUUCUCUUUUUCCAAGGAUGGUGAUGUGUUAUUUUGGAUGAUGAUUAAUUUACCCUUGUGUUUAUUAUUAUCCCGGUUUGCAGUGUAGCAAAUACAGUAAAUCAUAAGGAGAGCUGUUCGCCGUGCAGUUAUUUGACUUGUCAUCAUGUAGCGAUUGUAACAUAUUUGAAGUACCUGCUAGAGCUCCUGUAUUGAAUCGAAUUAGAUUGUUGAGAUUGGCUCUCUAUAGUCAAUCAUUUUAUCCAUUGAAGCAUAAGCUUCAAUGGAUUGAUAGUUUAAGCAUCUCAUUCCGGAGGUCAAUUUUGUUUGAGAAAAUCAGUUCACCACAUCAUGAAAAUUAGUGUUGGGUGAGUACCGAUACAAGGUAUCUAUGUACCGGUAAUGCCAAUACCAACCUUAUUUAAAGGUAUUGGGUACUCAUGCAUGAUGCUGAUACCAGCCACCAAUACUUAAAUGGUAAAAAGGCAUCAAGUCAGUCCUUGGCAAUACUGCAGCAGAUUGCUACAUUGGCGAAUCAUCAUCUGUGUCAGAAAGAAAGCUCCUUGUUGACAGGUUUUUGUCAGUGUGUUAAAUGACUUUUUUUCUGAUCAAACGUAGAGGUAGCUGUACUCUGUACCGUUGAGCACUCAAUGACAGCAAUGCCAUGCCGUCACGUGCUACUUCAGUGUAUAAAUUAAUGUCUCGCGUUUGUUUCUUAAAUGUUGAUCAUUUGAUAUUCUGAAUAAAGUCGGUUGUUUCAAA